UACGUAGGGGGCAAGCGUUAUCCGGAUUUACUGGGUGUAAAGGGAGCGUAGACGGCUUUGCAAGCCAGAUGUGAAAGCCCGGGGCUCAACCCCGGGACUGCAUUUGGAACUGUGUGGCUAGAGUGUCGGAGAGGCAGGCGGAAUUCCUAGUGUAGCGGUGAAAUGCGUGGAUAUUAGGAGGAACACCAGUGGCGAAGGCGGCCUGCUGGACGAUGACUGACGUUGAGGCUCGAAAGCGUGGGGAGCAAACAGG
rnacentral:rRNA from 1 species